rnacentral:rRNA from 1 species
CCUACGCGAGGCUGCAGUGAGGAAUAUUGGUCAAUGGGCGCGAGCCUGAACCAGCCAAGUAGCGUGAAGGAUGACUGCCCUACGGGUUGUAAACUUCUUUUAUAAAGGAAUAAAGUGAGGCACGUGUGCCUUUUUGUAUGUACUUUAUGAAUAAGGAUCGGCUAACUCCGUGCCAGCAGCCGCGGUAAUAUGGAGGAUCCGAGCGUUAUCCGGAUUUGUUGGGUUUAAAGGGAGCGUAGAUGGGUUGUUAAGUCAGUUGUGAAAGUUUGCGGCUCAACCGUAAAAUUGCAAUUGAUACUGGCAGCCUUGAGUACAGUUGAGGUAGGCGGAAUUCGUGGUGUAGCGGUGAAAUGCUUAGAUAUCACGAAGAACUCCGAUUGCGAAGGCAGCUUACUAAACUGCCACUGACAUUGAUGCUCGAAAGUGUGGAUAUCAAACAGGAGUAGAUACCCCAGUAGUC